rnacentral:rRNA from 1 species
GGUUAAGCGACUAAGCGUACACGGUGGAUGCCCUGGCAGUCAGAGGCGAUGAAGGGCGUGCUAAUCUGCGAUAAGCGCCGGUAAGGUGAUAUGAACCGUUAUAACCGGCGAUACCCGAAUGGGGAAACCCAGUGUGACUCGUCACACUAUCAUUAACUGAAUCCAUAGGUUAAUGAGGCGAACCGGGGGAACUGAAACAUCUAAGUACCCCGAGGAAAAGAAAUCAACCGAGAUUCCCCCAGUAGCGGCGAGCGAACGGGGAGGAGCCCAGAGCCUGAAUCAGCAUGUGUGUUAGUGGAAGCGUCUGGAAAGGCGCGCGAUACAGGGUGACAGCCCCGUACACAAAAGCGCAUGUGCUGUGAGCU